UUUAUUUUACCACUUUUCCCUCAAGAAUAGUGCCAAGUGCAUUCAAUCGAUAAGUCAUUCAAAUGAGAUUUAAUAUGAAAUUGUUUAUAUUUAGUAAAAAUAUCGAGAAAAUAAAAGUUGUUUCCGGGGUUAACAAAUUAUUUAUAUUUGAAUAACUUUUUGAAAAUAUUUUGUCCUGCUACAAAUUUUCUUAAAGGAAGUUGACAUAGAGUAACUUGUUAAAAAAAAAACACUCUUCUAGAUCGAGGUAAAGAUAAAAGCUCCGCGAAACGAGCCCUAUAAAAUGAUCUAUUGAUUAAUGACAAGUGAUCACAAUUCAAGACGAGCCAUCACUUGAAAUACACUUCAAUAUUAUUCAUAAAUAGCCUCGAAUAUCACCUAAACAGAUCUCAGCAGCGUCUGCCCUGUCAAGAUGAUUAAGAAGUGCUUAGACGGCGAGUUGUUUAGUUAAAAUUAGCAUUUCUGCAUAAUUCAACACCAACAAAAAAAAGGUUCGAUGAUACGGAAGAACAAAGAAACUAGUGAAAAUUGACUAGGAAACAUUCGUUAACCAGAUGAAAACGACUGCCCUCUUUGAAAUGGGAUCUUUUUGCACCGUAAAAAUACAAUCUCCCCUGUAAAUUCAUGGCUAGUUAAUCAGAAAUGACAGCCGCAACAGAGGAAAAAGCAACAGAGAGUUGAAACCAGAAAUAUGGCUUCAAAAGCCGACACAAUUUUGAAAAGAAAAUUGUUUAUAAACCAUAGAUGCAAGGUGAAUUUCCACUUCCACCGCAACCCGGCAGAGGUCUUGAACUUCCACCGCCCACUACCGAUCCUGUUAAGCCUCUUAAACAAGUACAUAAAACUCCAAGGCUUCUUCUCCAUAAUAUGUAAUAUAAUCUCGAUUUUGAUGGGUAUUUUGUGGAUUGGGGAUUGGUAACAGGAGGAAGUUGGGAUUUGAAUUUAAUUUUGAAGACGAAAACAGAGGACUUAUAGCAAUAUGGAGGCGGUAUCUGGGUUAGUGGGUUUUAAAGUGGAUUCAUUCAUCGGUUGCGAUCAGUGGGAAGCUAUUUCAGUUUGGGAUUAUUUAAAAUCUCAAAUAAGAUCCUCGUUGCUUUCUAAAGAGAAUCUCCCUUUUUGUUUGGUGACAUUAUUCGUGCUUUCAAUCUGGCCUUG
rnacentral:lncRNA from 1 species